UCUUGAACUCUUGAAUCAGGAUCUGAAGUUCUGAACACUAAGUUUGUAUUCAGUAUAAAAUAGUCCUUGUAACAAUUACAAUGCAAGAACUACAAGUACUAGAGUUUGAUCACAGAAAACUCCAAAUUGAUCAAUUAUAAACUAGAUUGAGUUUGAAACAGAAGGGAAUCAAAAAUCAAAUCAAAUCAAAAUUGAAGUCAAUGGAGUCUUCUUCUCUUUCGUCUUGGGAUUACCUUCUACUCUUCCUCUUACGCCCUUUAUGUGCCCUUCUUUUCGUCCUCUUCAUCCUCCUUUUAGGUUGGUUUUUAGCGUGGAAAUUGGUAUUAGUUCAUGUUCCAUUAGUGCAAGAAAUCUUUGGUUUGCGCAAAAAACCUGCUAAAGCUGACCCUCCAAAGCGUCGUUUUUCUCAAUUCUACAAUUCUCUUGACGCUUCUACUAAACAUGUUGCUUCUCCUAAUUGAUGAUGGUCGAACCAAGGAGGCACAAAAAAAAUUCCAGAUCUAUAGAAACACGGGAAAAGGGGGAAGAAACGGGAAUGCUUCUACUUGGUGUUGGACUUGAACUGAGGGCAGAGCCCUUACUUCAGCGCGAAAUCCAGUGCCUUUUUUCUGCAAUUUUAUUGCAGUGAUCUGUGACGUUAUGCAAAGUGUUUCACUACUAUAAAGCAAAUUGUUUAUCUUCAAUUUUGUUUUUCUUUUUGUAUCUGUAUAUUUUUUUUUCCUGGUUUGGGGUGUCUAAAAUGUUUUCUCUGGUGAAAGGAUUAUUGCAAGAGUGGAGUCUAAAGAGUUCGAUGAAGGCAAUAAAUCAUCUUUUGAGACCAGCUAUGAUGAACUUUUUCUGGUCUUGGUAGGGAAAGGAGAUGCAACAGCUACUUAUAAUUCUAUAUUGCAGCCUGGCUCCUACUGCAAAGUAUUUUUACAAGCCACAAAUGAUACUUCCCUAUCCUCUGAUUGAUGCGGUUGGUGCUCAAUUAGCUCGAGAUAGUUUUCAUGGAUGGUUAUAGAAAUUUGUGUGUUGAUGUGCAGGGUUGGGUGGGAGGGGUUCUGAAAGCUAGACGUUCGUGAAAACAGCAUUACAAUGUACGAUGUUGAUUGUAUAUAUAACAAAGAAAGAAAAAGAGAAGAACAAUGUAUGAUUUUGGUGAAAAUCAUUAUUGUAUACACUAUAGAAAUUCUAUAUGUAAGUCUAUAUGUAAUCACAUGUCAACAACUGUGCAAAUAUUGCAGGGUUUGUGUCGAUUUCUUUUUAGUUUUGCCACACAGCUUUACAUAAAUUUCUAUA